rnacentral:rRNA from 1 species
ACGGGUGAGUAAUGCAUCGGAACGUACCGAGUAAUGGGGGAUAACUAUCCGAAAGGAUAGCUAAUACCGCAUACGCUUUGAGAAGGAAAGUGGGGGCUCUUCGGACCUCACGUUAUUCGAGCGGCCGAUGUCUGAUUAGCUAGUUGGUGGGGUAAGGGCCUACCAAGGCGACGAUCAGUAGCGGGUCUGAGAGGGUGAUCGGCCACACUGGGACUGAGACACGGCCCAGACUCCUACGGGAGGCAGCAGUAGGGAAUCUUCGGCAAUGGACGAAAGUCUGACCGAGCAACGCCGCGUGAGUGAAGAAGGUUUUCGGAUCGUAAAGCUCUGUUGUAAGAGAAGAACGGGUGUGAGAGUGGAAAGUUCACACUGUGACGGUAUCUUACCAGAAAGGGACGGCUAACUACGUGCCAGCAGCCGCGGUAAUACGUAGGUCCCGAGCGUUGUCCGGAUUUAUUGGGCGUAAAGCGAGCGCAGGCGGUUAGAUAAGUCUGAAGUUAAAGGCUGUGGCUUAACCAUAGUACGCUUUGGAAACUGUUUAACUUGAGUGCAGAAGGGGAGAGUGGAAUUCCAUGUGUAGCGGUGAAAUGCGUAGAUAUAUGGAGGAACACCGGUGGCGAAAGCGGCUCUCUGGUCUGUAACUGACGCUGAGGCUCGAAAGCGUGGGGAGCGAACAGGAUUAGAUACCCU